GCCAGACUGUUUUGUAUGAAUAAAUACUUUUAUUUUGAAAAGACGAUGACAUCCUGUUGACACGUGCUUAGCUUUCCGUGCUUCAAUUCAGUUAGCUAUGUAUAGGAUUUCAGAAAAACAAUUCUGUUUCCGUUAAAUCGACGUUUUGCUACCGCGUUAUCCGUUUGUCAUCUAUGAACACGACAUCGCGGGGUGCAAGGUUAGGAAUGCAAGGUUCUAUCUCAGCACCAUUUUCCCGGUUGCUAACUGCUCUUAGUGAAACGGAUAUGAUGGUGAAAUGGCUCCCUCCGGUUCAAAUAUUGAGCAGCAAGCCUUUGACGGUAUUAAUACAUUGGUCGCGAUUGAUCCAGACAGCGCAGACGAUGACAGUUAUCGAUCUUAAGCAAGAUGGCGACGAAGAUCCCACCGUCAACGUAACAGACAAACCUCACAUCCUACCUGAUUCCACUGCGGCGUACGUCGAUAAUCCAAUAUGAUCCGGCGGCGAACCACUUCCUGGACCCAGCAGCGAACCAGCAAGAAAGAAGCCUAGAAAAACAAAUCGUCCCACCUCGCCAGUCAGUCCUGGACCAGACGGCGAUCCACCAAGAAAGACUUAUCGUUUUAGUGGUGGUCCCACCUGAACCGAACGGCGAACUACCAAGAAAGACUUAUCGUUUUACAGCGGUGGUCCGACCUGAACCGAACGGCGAACUACCAAGAAAGGCUUAUCGUUUUACCCCGGUGAUCAGUCUUGAGAGCUCUCCAGAGAGGAAAACUCUUUGUCUGACACCACCUGAGACCGAGCUGUUUUAUGCAGACUCGAGUUGAAGCCAUAAGGAUGACGUGACUACCUGGGGUACGUCUCAAAUCGAUGCUUGGGACCAGAGUUCUUGGACGAGCAAGCAUGACGAGGUGUCAACCACCAACGUGGGUCAAACACCAUAUCCUUCUCACUCACCGUCGUCAGAAGAAGUAGAAGUGGAAGAAGUUCCGGCGCCUCAGCAGGUUGAUGAACCAUUCAAUGAUCUGCCUCCGACUCAUAGGCCCAUUAAUUCGAUAGAAUCAUUUGGUCAAGAGUUUCGCGACGUGCAGGUUGACAUAAACAACAAAUAUGUCGGACUCCGUGACGUACAAGAUGAUAUUAACAACAAAUUGAUUGCAUUGCGCAGCGAGUCUCGUGACAGACAAAUCGAAACCCAUAGCAGAUUAGACGUGUUGCAUGGUGACCUCCGUGCCUAUGACCUUGAGACAUGCAGUCGAUUCGAUACGCAGGAUUGCUUUAUUCAGGAUCUGGCUAAUGAAAUAUUCCAUCGCGUCAAUGCUAUGAGAUCAGUGAUUGAUCAGCAGUUUGAUAGAAAUGAUCGUAUGGUGAGCCAAUACCAACGGGAAUUGGUGCUCAUUUUGCAUCACCUUAUUCUCACUAUCAUAGAUGAGACCACAGAGUCAAAUUGAAUAUAGAUGUAUUCAGAGUAAUUCUUAUAUUGCACGGUUAUUGUAAUAUUCCAUCUAUACUUUGUUUACAUAUAAUCUGAUAUUUCAUGUAAUUCUUAUAUCGCACGUCUGGUAUGAUUUUGUAAUAUUUCAUGUAUGCUUUUUAUACUUUGUUUACAUAUAAUCCGAUAUUUCAUUUAUACUCUGAUUUUGUGAUAGUUCAUUUAUGAUUUUUUAUACUAUAUGAAAUGUAUAAUAGUUCAUGUAUGCUUUUUUAUACUAUAUGAAAUUUGUAAUAGUUCAUGUGUGCUUGUUUUAACUCUUUGAUUUUGUAAUAGUACGUGUUUUGGUCUGAAAUCAAAAAAAUGGACGGGUCAGACGACUUAUGUCAAUCAGACCAAUCCUCCACAGAACGGAUGAGUUCUGGAGCUCUGAGAUAUCAGAUGGUGGCCGAGGGUUACGUCGACCUGUGAAAACAUGGUAGCUGCCAGGUAAUUUAUCGGCCCCACCUUUGCCGGCCUCUCCGGGUCUAUAAUAAACCAUUUUUUGGUUUAAAGUGUAGUUUUUUUGGUUUAAAGUGUAGUCUUACAUCUCAAAAGAGGGACGUAAGAAUCGCCGACCGCUUGAUAUUGGAUAAUGUCCGUGUAGACGUACAUCAUGUAGAACCCCCUUUUAUAUAACAUUGAUGACAUGACAGCGUUUACGGUAAAAUCUGUUUUUUUAUGAUAGUUUAAACCUCCUAGAGGCUUUAGCGUCGUUCCUAAAAUAGUGGCUAGUCUCCCGCGAAAACUCACUGAAAUGUUGGGUUUCGCGGUCAGAAUCACCUUUAUUUUUAAUUCGUCGUGACUCAAUACGGCCACUGGUGCGAUAAGUUGAGUUAUAGAGCACGCAGGAUUGCACGAAUGUUAGCGUAGUACCCACCGCUUAUGUGUAAUUUCGUAAUUACAGAAAAAGCGAUAUACAAGUCUUUGGAGGUCUUGCUAUCCGUGGGUUCCGGGACCGUAUGUAGGAUGAAAUGACCGUCUUCGUCAUCAAAGUUGUACCAACUUCUAGGAUAUUCAAUUCCGGCGAGUCCGACUUCCCAUUGUCCUUUCAAGUCUAUAGCUUUUGCUAACCUGGUCAUAUAGGAGGAUAUGCGAUUUUCUGGAUAAACCGACAAAGAUGCAUUGCACGGCAACGUGAAGUAGAAACCCGUGAUCAUCCAUGGCGGUCUUUUCCCUGGUAUGAUCUCAUCCGUAAAACGUCAGUGUGUUUUA